rnacentral:rRNA from 1 species
UACGGGGGGGGCAAGCGUUGUUCGGAAUUACUGGGCGUAAAGGGCUCGUAGGUGGCCAACUAAGUCAGACGUGAAAUCCCUCAGCUUAACUGGGGAACUGCGUCUGAUACUGGAUGGCUUGAGUUUGGGAGAGGGAUGCGGAAUUCCAGGUGUAGCGGUGAAAUGCGUAGAGAUCUGGAAGAACACCGGUGGCGAAGGCGGGUCUCUGGGCCGAUACUGACGCUGAGGAGCGAAAGCGUGGGGAGCGAACAGG